CCAAAUAAAAUUGAUGGAUUUAUAUGAACUUUCAUGGAAAAUCACACUCUUUAUAUAUAUAAUUAAAAUUUUAAAAUUUCUUUGUAUAUUUAUUUCUUUGAUAAAAAUUUUAAUUCCGCCGCGAGUAGUAUUACAAGUAAUAUUUGCGGGGAGGAGCUAUCGGAUUGAUUACGAAUUCAGUUUUUUCGAAGAAAAAUUGGAGUUGCAAAUUUCAUAAGGCAUGGAAGAUCUGAAAUGCGGGCGUUUCUGCUUUUUCGAUGGUUCAGUUUCAUCUAUGGAUCGAGAAAACUAUGGUAGCUUCUCAUAAUGCUGUUUUAAGUGGGAAUUCAGUAGAGGCGAAGCUAUGAUUUCAACAUAAUUGGUUAAUAUUUGUGUAUAAUUUGAGGCUGAAUCCGCAUGUGGAUUUUGCAUUGCUUCUGGUGGGAAGGACCUUUUCUAUGUGGUGUUGAUAGGGUCACUGAUUAGCUUUUGCAUUGCUAAAACAAGGUAUGGAAUGUUUAGCUUUUGGUAUUGCGAAUCUAUCGACUGAUAUACUAGACAUACUGCAAGUGAAAGUGCAUCUGUAGUAGGUAUUUUUAUUUGUUGGAACUUGGAAGAACUUCUCCUUGUUUAGUUGUAUAUAUUGUUUCAUGAGCAAAUUGUUAUAUGAAAUGCAGCAACACCUACUCGAGAAGAUUAUUAGAUAUUACGAAUGGAGCGUCUUAACUGUUAAGAUACGGUUAUUUGGAUGAAAAUGCUAAUUAGCUCAUAACGAUGUUUUUAGAGGAAUUGAAAUGAUGAUAGAUGUAAAGAAUCAGUUUCCAGAUGAAAGGUGUAAGUGUUUCCAUAAUAAAAUUCUAGAUUGAACUCGUGAGUCACGCUAUGUUUGAACUCUUCUUAUCUUCUCUUAUUUUGAUAAAAUUCAUAUUACUGCCUUUGACUGAAUCCUUCUUGUUGUAUUGUUUGUGGGAUGUAAAGCAAAAUAAUAUGUUCAUACCAUCAGAUGUUGAAAGGGUGUUAUGAACUUGCCUGGGUAAUUUAUAACUUUGGAUGUCAUUUGGAUCUCAAUAUUCUUUAUUUGUAAACCAGAUCCGAAUAUUAAAAAGUCUGCUUAUCAGUUACAUACUUUAAGUCAGUCUUACUACUGCUAAGGCCUCAUGUAUAGAAUAACUGUAUUAUAUUUACUACCAAGGACUUUUAAGGAAUUAUUGAUUCAAAACAUUCUAUUGCUACACCCAUCUUCAAGUAUCUCAAAUAGCACACUAGCCGUAAGAUGAAGAGGUGUCUAAUACAGCCACUCAUCCGCUGAGCUGGCCGAAAGAAUCAAGUGAAGAGUCUUUACUAUAAAGAAAAAGCAUUUUCCUAUUCUAGAAUUCCUGCAAACUAUUAAUUGAAGUGCUUACCAGUCACCGCUACAAUUGGCAGAAAUUGGCACUGCAUCUAUAUCAAUGAAUAUUUAGCUUUUCCUUGGUCCAUUUUUUUAGCACUGGCUUACUCACAGGAAGCUGGCUUAGCAGAAAGAUGGACUUUGUGUGUAACUUUAACAGAGAAAAAGAAAAUGAACUUUGUCAUAUGCUUUAAUACAAGAUUAUGUGCUUAAAUACUUGUGCAUUAUGUACACUUCACAUGUACAAGUGUUUUGGUUUAGAUACUCCUUAUUAUCACAUAUAAAUCUACUUGCACCUUCUGUUUUAUACUGUAUAGUGUAUACUCUAUAACCAGGAAGGACUUUUGUUGGAUUUGCAUUUGAUAGUGUUAUCAUCUUUCUUUUCAAGAAAAAAAAAAGAAGAAAAAAAGUAUGUUUUACAUUGAUGCAGAAGAACCUGACUGUUAUGACCUGUACUUGAAUACAAAUGGUGAGAUCUCCUUCUGCUUUUAUCUGCCUCUAUUUUGCACCAGAUGAUUUUCGAAUGUGCAGCUCCACCAAGCAAAUUGGACAGGGAAUGGAUGACAAGUUGCAAGAAGUGAAGAAAUCACUAAUUUUUCCAAGCCUAGCUAUGGAUGCAAGAGGUGAAAUGGAGACAGUAGACACUACGACCAGCAUUACAGCGUGUUUACAUGACAAGAGCGUCAACAUAUAAAGAUGCACUUAAAGGUUUCAUAGUGGGAUAUCAAGAAGAUAUGCAACAAGUAUGGAGAAAAAACGAGGACGCUAAAUUGCAUAAGGACAUUUAUGCAGCCAAAGAACAAUAUUGGCCUCUGCAGUACAAGUUUAUGUAGUGGGCAAAUGGGGGAAGGAAAUUACAUCGCAAAUGGUUCAACGCUCUCGUUUGUAAAAGUGAUUUGGCUUGAGAUCAAUUGAACCUCAAAGUGUAAGGUUUGGAUGGAGGAGGCAGGACUAGACCAAAACAGGUCAGGUGAGCCAGGAAUGGAUGUAAGAUAGUUGAAAAUGAUUUCCACCCAAAUAUUGACUUCUCUUUGGUACUUUAUUCCACAUAGUAUGUGCUGCAGAUUCUAAAGCAAAAGCAUAUAAUGAUUUAGCCCUUGAAUCUAUCAUCGAGGUGUCUUGCUCGGUGUCUAGAGCCUCCUCUGAUAAAGUUCGUUCAUCUCUUGCCAUCUUUAUUUGAUGUGCCAUCAGCUUUCCAUUAGGAUAGUUUCAGCACUUGUUGUUCCGGACCCAUAUGUGACUGUUUGUGGGUGUUUUUAUUAGGUAUAUGUUGGCGGGGUCAUGGAAUUUGUCUCUUGAUUGAAAUCUGUCAAGCACAUGGGUCUUCAUUUGAGCACAUUGUAAUAAGAAUCUUCUACCAUGUCUGAUAAAUUAUAGUCAUAUCAUCAUCGUGGAUCCUACAUAAGACUGAAUCAGGAAUUAUUCUGUGUUUCUUUAGUGCAUGUACUGUGAUUUUGGCCUUAGUCUCAACUGCUAGCUUUAAUUAUUAUAUGUGUGAAAUAGUUGCCAAUACCAGUUUGGAGAAUA